CCCUACGGGAGGCAGCAGUGAGGAAUAUUGGUCAAUGGGCGGGAGCCUGAACCAGCCAAGCCGCGUGAGGGAAGAAGGUACAGCGUAUCGUAAACCUCUUUUGUCAGGGAACAAAGGCGGGGACUAGUCCCCGGAUGAGGGUACCUGAAGAAAAAGCAUCGGCUAACUCCGUGCCAGCAGCCGCGGUAAUACGGAGGAUGCGAGCGUUAUCCGGAUUUAUUGGGUUUAAAGGGUGCGCAGGCGGCCUGUUAAGUCAGCGGUAAAAGCCCGGGGCUCAACCUAGGCGAGGCGUUGAAACUGGCGGG
rnacentral:rRNA from 1 species